ensembl:lncRNA
CUUCAUCUGGUCAGGUUUGGAGGUCUUCACAUCAGGAGGUCCAGCAACAUAUUUUGAUGACUCAGACGUCUUAGAAACUUCUAGACUCUGUCUAGAACCAGUUGGCACAACCUGGGUUUCUUCCACAACAGCAGUAAUGGAUGGACCCGUGACUGAAUCUGUAAUGAUCAAUGACACCACACUCCCCGGGUCUUGUUGGUCAAAAGGUGAAGCCACUGGAUCAACAACUUGUAUUUCUAUGCUACUCUGUACACGACUCUGUUCAGACAUUGGACUGAUCUCCACCUCUACAAUAGUUUCACCUUCCUUUGUGCUCCCUACACUUUGUUGGACAUUUGGAGUGCCAGGACGAUCAUGAGCCUCAGAAUAAGAGACUGACUGCUCUGUUGACCCCUUGCCCUUGUUUGUCUCUUCAAGAUUCAUAGAGAUUUCAGCUGGUCUUUCAAGGUCCAUCAUUUCCCCAGGCUUAAGGUGUCCAAAGGUUUUCCCAGAAGAAGAAAGUGUUUCAGAAGUUGUGACAAGUUCUGGGCUCUUGGUUUUGGUUGAUCCAUGUAAGGUGUGUCCCAUUAUGACAAUUUGAGUUUCUGUUGGUACUUGUUGAGCAUCAAUUGGCAGCAAAAUAGAGGAAAGUUCCAGAGUUGACUUGAUACUAGCUGGGACAAAAUUCAUUUCAUCUUUAGAUUCUACCUUAGCUUCUGAGCGUUUAACAUGAUCAGCAGCAGCUUUGGAAUCACCUGGACCCUUGCUCUCAGUAAGCAAAGAUUGUGUCUCUUUUAAAGGUUUAGCUUCCAGAACUCCAGCAGUUUCAGGCUCUCUUGGGAGGGAUUUAUGGAGUUGUAUGGAAGAUUCCAAACUGCUUGGCUCUUUUUGAGUUGGUUCAGGCUUGACAUCACCGAAGCAAAUGGUUCCUGGUUCUGAAGUUUUGGCAAGUUUGGGACAUUCCUCCACAAAAGGUCUUUUAAUGUCAGAUCUGGGACUUUGUGGGGACAAAGGACCCUCACUAUCUUUCUGUUGUUGCUCUUGUACACCAGUAAGUUGCACGGAUGAAAGCGCAGGCUGAGACAUUCUUCUGGUUGGCACGCACUGUGCUUUUUCCACAACAGCAGUCAUUGUCUCCAUUGUGACGGACUCUCGGCUAACACAACUUUCCAGAUUCAUGAGAUCCGAUACCUCCUUUGGUUCAACAGUGAAGACGUCAGUGGUUUUAUUGGCUGUUUCACUAUCCUUGCUGGAUUCAGGUGCCGCAUCAGCAGGUUUCAUUGAUGUGUCUGACGUUCUCCUGGUCUGUGUAACAAGCUUGGUCUUUUCCCCAGUACUAAUGUCAGAUUUGGUCUGAACAUCAGCAGAUGUAGUUGCUGACUUUUCUCUCGUUAGCUCAGGCAGUGGUUCUUCAGUGGCCUUGUCUAUGACGGACUCAGUUUGUAGAGUUUUGGCAUCAGUGGUUUUGUUGCCAGCCUUCUGUAACCCUGACACCCUUGAAACCAUUGGACUUUUUGACUCCAGCGUAGCAGUUUUUGUUUCAGGUAGAGGUCUUUGUGGGGACCGAGGGCUCUCUGUUUCCAUGUUCUGUUCAAGCUCUGCAUCAGUUAGUUUCAUCGAUGCCACUGACGUCUCGGCAGGGAGAACACCCUUUGAAUAUCUCUUAGCCUGCUCAAGAGCAACUGUUUCCAUGCCCGGUUUAGAACUUUCUGUUUUCUCUAGUUCUGUAUGAUCAACUUUCAUAGAUGAUGCUGAAGUCUUUGACUUUUUCUGAGUUGGUACGACAUUGGUCUGUUCGACAGCAGUGGCCUCAGACUCAGCCUGUAUGUGUUUUGUUUGAACAUCAGCAGAUACAGCAACAUCUGAAGCUGGCUCUGAAGCUGCUGUCUCAAAGGUUUGAGAAGACAGAAGAUAUAAAGGUUCCUCAUUGUUGGAUCUAGAAUGUGUACCAGAUUUUAUCUUGGCUUCUGCAGGUGCAUUAUGGUCAACAGCACCAGUGGAAUCAUCUUGACCCUUGCUGCCAGUUAGAAUAGCUUUUGUUUCUUUUACAACAGUAGUUGGACUUGGAUCUAAAGGUUUGGAUAAUUUCGGAAUUUCAGGCUCCUCCUCUUUUUCCGGCUCAGAUGUCAGCUUCUCUUCUCUGGUCGGUCCAGGCUUAGCUUCCAGAACUCCGGCAUUUUUAGGCAGUAUUGGGACAGACUUCUGGAGUUUUGUGGAAGAGUCCAAACCGAUGGGCUCUCUUUGAGUUUGUUCAGGCUUGACAUCAACGAUACAAAUGGUUUCUGGUUCUGAGGUUUUUGCAAGUUUGGGACAUUUCUCCACAAAAGGCCUUUUAAUUUCAGAUCUGGGACUUUGUGGGGACAAAGGACCCUCACUUUCUUUCUGUUGUUGCUGUUGCACAUCAGUAGGUUGCACAGAUGAAAGCGCAGUCUGAGACUUUCUUCUGGUUGGUACAAGCUGUGCUUCUUUCACAACAGCAGUCACGGUUUCCAUUGUGACGGACUCUCGGCUAACACAACUUUCCAGAUUCAUGAGAUCCGAUACCUCCUUGGGUUCCACAGUGAAGACGUCAGUGGUUUUAUUGUCGGUUCUCAUUACAAAGCUUUUUAUAUCAGGAUUUGAACUCGUUGAGGACAGAAGACGAUCACUAUCCUUGCUGGAUUCUGGUUCGGUAUCAGCAGGUUUUAUUGAUGUCUCCAAUGUUCUCCCGGUUGGUGAUACAAGCUUGGCCUUCUCCCCAGUACUAGUGACAGAUUUGGUCUGAACAUCAGCAGAUGUAGCUGAUGACUUUUUCCUUAUUGGAAUUUCAGGUUUUGCCUGAAAUUGUUGUGUCUUCACAGCCACAGGUGCAGUUACACUUGCAAGUUCCUGAUGGAAUGUAGUCUGGUCUUUGGGCUCAGGUUUUGGAACAUCUUGCGGUUGUCCUUCAGGAAUUAAGGACUGGGGCACAACUAUUUCACUUUGAGGACGUUGAGGAAGUACAGAUGGCUCUGAUUCCUUAGAUGCCUGUCCCAGUGGGAUGUCAACCCCUAUCGAUCCAGCAAUGUCAGCUCUCUCAGAGCUUAAUUCCUUUAGGCAAACGUCUACUGUCUGGACAUCAGGACUUUCCAGAACUACAACUACCUUCUUGAUUGAGUAUGGCUUUACCAUUUCAUGGAUGGUUGUACUUUGUGAGUCAGACAGAGCAGCUUGUUCUUCUCUAAUUGGAGAAGGCUGAGGGGACUCAGAGUCUUCUGUUGAAUGUGCAGGUUUUACAUCAGCCAGUGUCAUAGGAGAUCCAUCAGGUUUUAACUUUCUCCUGGCAGGUACCACAAUGGGUUCCUCCAAAACAACAACAGUCUCGGCCAGUCCUGUGAUUGACUCUUCUGUGAGAGGAGACUUUGCACUUUCUUUUUUAGUCUGAAUUGGUUUGAUCUUCGCUUCAGCAGGUCCAGUGACAGGUAAUGUUGUCUCUAAAGUUGUAGGAACAGUUUGAUUGCCCAAGGUACCGGUUCUCUCCGAUGUUGUUUUUUCCACAUCAGUAGCUAUGGAUGGCCUGAUGAAUGACUCUGGAUUAAUCAAUGACGCACUUGCAGGGUCUCGUUCAGUACAAACAGUGAUGGCUUCUUUAUUCAUAGUGUUCGUUUUGAUUGGCUCUGAAGCCUUGGUGGAUUUUGACCUUCUUGUAGUGGGUGAAGGCUUCGCUUGCUCAAGGGUUCUUGUUUGCGUGCCAGGUUUUGAACUUGCAAUCUUCUGCUGUGGUUCUCCAUCAAGUUUCAUAGAUGUCACUGAUGUCUUUGACUUUCUCCUCGUUGGUACAAGCUUAGUCUGAUCAUCAGCAGCGGUCUCAGAUUCAGCAAGUUUGGUUGGAACAUCAGCAGGUACAGCAAGUUCUGAGGCUGGCUCUGAAGCUGUAGAGUCCUCUGGAAUCUCUCUAGACCUUCUCCUGCUUGGCACAAGAUGUGAGACACACACAUCCACCUUAGCUGUCCCAACUUGGGAUGAAUCUUGGGUCUUUGAUGUUUCAACCCUAGAAAGGUCCUGUUUAGUUUUAGUCAUUUCUUUAGUUGUUGUAAUGGUGGUUUUUGUUGGUUGUUUUGUUGUUGUGUCAACUCUGGGGCUUUGCACUUUCUUGGUAGGUACAGGCAAAGCUCGGUCUACCACAGAAACAGACAGAUUACUCUCAGAAGUUUGCUUGGACUGUGCAGGUGUUGCACGCAUAAUAGGAGAUCCAGAAGAUUUUGACUUUUUCCUGGCUGGUACCACCAUGGCUUUCUCCAUGACAGCUGUAUCUGACAGUGCUGGGGUUGAAUAUGGAAUUAUAGAAGACUUUUCACUUUCAGCAUUUGUCGGAUCUUGUUCAGGCUUCACAGGAACUGGUGCAGUAACACUUGCUUGGGCCUGGUGAUCUGUAGUCCUUACCUCAGCCUGUUCCAGUGUGAUUGGCUCUUGAGUGUCGGUUUUGAUUGGGUCUGAAGUCUUGGUAGAUUUGGACUUUCUUGUAGGAGGAGAAGGCUUAGCUUGCUCAGCUUUUAGCUUUUGCGUGAACUGUACAUGUUCAGUUCCCUUUGGUUCUGCAUCAAGGGUUCCUGAUGAAAUGGAGGUCUCUAACUUGCUCCCACUCGUUACCAGCUUAGUUUGUGCAUCAGUGAUGGUUUCCGAUUUGAUCUUGAAUCCCUCAGUGGAAUCUUCUCGACUCUCCUUAGGUUCCCGAUUCAGUGCUUGAGAAGGAUCUUUUGAAACAGCCAAACUCUGAUUACUCCUGGUUACCAGAAACUGCUGUGGUUCUUUAACAGCGAUUUUGGUCUGGCAAAUAGACAACCCAGAUGUCGUUGUCAAAAAUUCCUCCUUCGUUUGCAUAGACUCUGGUAAAGCAGGCUGAGCAACAAUGUCUAGAUCCUGUCUUCUGGCCUGCUCAGACUUGUCUGUUCCCCCUACAGCAGUGUCAACCGGUUCCCAUACUAUUACAGGGAAAUGGGGCUCAGCUCUAACUAUUACGGGCUCCACUGAAGAUGACGUUGUAGUUGACUUUGUACUCCUUGUUCCUUCGGACCCAGCCUUAGUCGCCGAUUCAGCAGAAAGUACACUCACACUUGUAGCCUCUGAUGCGGUCAGUGUCCUGUCUUCAGUGACGUACGUCGUCUCUGUGGUGACUCGCACUACAGAUACUGAAGUUUCAAUUUCACUGUGUGUGGUUUCCCUCUUAUCUUUAUCGAUGAUUGGUUCCUGGAGUUCCGUAUGUUUCUGGGAAACAGUGAUGCUCUUCCUCUCUGCAGAGGGUCUGAUUGUCCGUGGUGGUGCUACUACUGAUGGUGCCGUUGCUGGUAUUUCUACGUCCUCCACUCUAGCUGGACGGACCUCAGAGGCCUGAGGGGCUUGCAGCUUGUGUUUCUU